rnacentral:rRNA from 1 species
UACAGAGGGGGCAAGCGUUGUUCGGAAUUACUGGGCGUAAAGGGCGCGUAGGCGGCCUGUUAAGUCGAACGUGAAAUCCCCGGGCUCAACCCGGGAACUGCGUCCGAAACUGGCAGGCUUGAAUCCGGGAGAGGGAUGUGGAAUUCCAGGUGUAGCGGUGAAAUGCAUAGAUAUCUGGAGGAACAUCGGUGGCGAAGGCGACAUCCUGGACCGGUAUUGACGCUGAGGCGCGAAAGCCAGGGGAGCAAACGGG